GACAGAGGGUGCUAGCGUUGUUCGGAAUCACUGGGCGUAAAGGGCGCGUAGGCGGCUUUGUAAGUCAGGGGUGAAAUCCCGGAGCUUAACUCCGGAACUGCCUUUGAUACUGCUUAGCUGGAGUCUGAAAGAGGGUAGUGGAAUUCCUAGUGUAGAGGUGAAAUUCGUAGAUAUUAGGAGGAACACCAGUGGCGAAGGCGACUACCUGGUUCAGUACUGACGCUGAGGCGCGAAAGCGUGGGGAGCAAAC
rnacentral:rRNA from 1 species